rnacentral:lncRNA from 1 species
CACAUUUUCUUACUUUAAAAUUUAUCGCUCUCCAGACUCCCAAUUCAGAAAAGAAUUGUAAAAAAUAACACAAACGCUGCUCAUCAAGCACUCUUAGAUGGAGCAAUAAAAAUUGUGUGUCCAAAUUUUCCGUUCAUUAAUAAAUAUAAAUAUGUGAAAUUUUACGAGAUAUCAAUAAUUAUAAGAGUUCUGAUCGAUUUUUUUAGGUAUCGUAACUUUAAAAGCAACAGUUCCUUAUAAUGACCAGUGUAUUCCAAAACUACCUUUCAAGGGGCAAAUUUUAAGGAAUAUGAAGUGUAGUUCGACGCACAACGAAGAAGAAUCAGAAUAUAAGGCAAAACCAAUGUUCAGCCGGUACAGUAGUAAUUACGUAAACCGAGAUUCACCGUUGUGCUCUCAUUCUCUUAGUACGUUUGAAGUGAAUCGGACGCCGUACUUAACUUUAGCGUGUCAAAAUGCAGUAACGGCGGACACCAGAAAAGUAAGCAAAUAAUUUUACUAUUAUCUCUGCGGAAGUAUUUAUAAUAUCUGUAACGGUCAAUGGCGGUUAUUUGGUUUCAUUCAUACGGAAAAAGUAGCUUUAAAACAGUGCCAAUGUUUGCAAGUUGGCAUUGUCUCACCUCCAUCUAAGCAGUCACCCUAGGGAUCCUCCAUUACAUCGAAUUGGAUCCAAACAAUAACAAUGACAUAACCUCUUUUAAUGCUGGAUAAAUCUUGCUUUUAAUGAGGAUAAAUCUACACGCACUUAUAAUUGGACGUAUUUCUGUCAAACGGACCUAAGCGCCAUAGGGUGAGGAAGGUAGAGGGGGGCUUGGAUUGGCGGCGGAAUCGGGUGUCCGGCUUAUUCCGUCCUAUACUCGCAAUGCUUUUCCAUGGCGCUUAGGUCCGUUUGACAGAACGCGCUAUCCGGCAUUCUAAAUUCCUCAAAAGGAACUCAAAUUGGCGCGCUUAGUUCCGUUUGAUAGAAAUACGUCCAAUUGUAUACCGCUUUUCUAUGACGUAGCACUGAAAGCGUCUAUAGGGAUGCAACUACUUUUCACGAUGAACCCUGUCGUCCAUAUCAAUCCAUGCUUUCCAGGGCUCAUCUUUAAAUGUAG